UACGAAGGGGGCUAGCGUUGCUCGGAAUCACUGGGCGUAAAGCGCACGUAGGCGGGUUGUUAAGUCGGGGGUGAAAUCCUGGAGCUCAACUCCAGAACUGCCUUCGAUACUGGCGAUCUUGAGUCCGGGAGAGGUGAGUGGAACUCCGAGUGUAGAGGUGAAAUUCGUAGAUAUUCGGAAGAACACCAGUGGCGAAGGCGGCUCACUGGCCCGGUACUGACGCUGAGGUGCGAAAGCGUGGGGAGCAAACAGG
rnacentral:rRNA from 1 species